AUCUAGAUCACUCCUCUCAGGUCUACAUCCUUCUCCAAGAAGAUCUCUACAUACUCUCGAUCUGAAAAAUUGGAUCACGAUCAAUCCUUGAUCGCGGUGCGGUCUUCUCUAGAUCGCAUGGGCUUUUCUUCCUCUGGCGUAGAUCUGAAUCACCAACACUUGGAUCCUCCAGAUGGUGGAUGCCCGACACCUUUGGGCAUGAAGAUUUGGGGCAU
rnacentral:lncRNA from 1 species